ACUCCUAAACCCCUGUGAACUCACUAUGUUGGAUUCUCGCCAGAGAUAGUCUGGUUUCUGCUUCGCGGAUCGCCUGCCCGUGACACCUGUCACAGGUAGGUAUGCUUCUGCCGCGGGUCCGCAGGUAAAUCGUCUGUUUCACAAGGGACGGCGAUUUUACCUGUGGAAGAGGUCCGCUAACUAUAUUCUUAGUAUAGUUUGUUCACUAGAUCAAACAUUCUGAAUAAAAACUUAAACUAGUUAAAACUUUCAACAACGGAUCUCUUGGUUCUGGCAUCGAUGAANAACGCAGCGAAAUGCGAUAAGUAAUGUGAAUUGCAGAAUUCAGUGAAUCAUCGAAUCUUUGAACGCACAUUGCGCCCAUUAGUAUUCUAGUGGGCAUGCCUGUUCGAGCGUCAUUUCAACCCUUAAGCCUCUGUUGCUUAGCGUUGGGAGCCUACAGCCUGCUGUAGCUCCUUAAAGGUAGUGGCGGAGUCGGUUCACACUCUAGACGUAGUAAAAUCUUUAUCUCGCCUAUAGAUGAGCCGGCGCCUUGCCGUAAAACCCCUAAUCUUUCACAAGGUUGACCUCGGAUCAGGUAGGAAUACCCGCUGAACUUAAGCAUAUCAAUAAGCGGAGGAAAAGAAACCAACAGGGAUUGCCCUAGUAACGGCGAGUGAAGCGGCAACAGCUCAAAUUUGAAAUCUGGCCUUCGGGUCCGAGUUGUAAUUUGCAGAGGAUGCUUUGGGCGCGG
rnacentral:rRNA from 1 species